UAACACCCAGAUGAAAGGAUGACAGUAGU
rnacentral:piRNA from 1 species